GUCAGUGUUACCAGGGGAGCAGCAACUUCCAAGAGAGGACAGUGCAGCAUCAGUGAAAUUUCAUCAGCUAGACACCCUAACUUUUCAGCCUCUGGUUGGGUUGACCAGAAAAAGCUUCCAGAAUGUCUGUUUAAAGUGUACCUGUUGCCAAGAUAGGUGAGUGAUCCUAAAACUUCCACUCAACAUCACAGAG